rnacentral:rRNA from 1 species
UUGGAGGGCAAGUCUGGUGCCAGCAGCCGCGGUAAUUCCAGCUCCAAUAGCGUAUAUUAAAGUUGUUGCAGUUAAAAAGCUCGUAGUUGAAUUUCGGGAUCGACGGGUCGGUCGCGCCUCCGGUGUGUACUGGCCCUGUCGGUUUCUCACCUUCUGACGAACCACGAUGUCAUUAAUUUGAUGUCGUGGGAAAUCAGGACUGUUACUUUGAAAAAAUUAGAGUGUUUAAAGCAGGCAUUCGCUUGAAUACAUUAGCAUGGAAUAAUGAAAUAGGACGUUUGAUCUUAUUUUGUUGGUUUCUAAGAUCGACGUAAUGAUUAAUAGGGAUAGUUGGGGGCAUUAGUAUUCAAUUGUCAGAGGUGAAAUUCUUGGAUUUAUUGAAGACUAACUACUGCGAAAGCAUUUGCCAAGGAUGUUUUCAUUAAUCAAGAACGAAAGUUAGGGGAUCGAAGACGAUCAGAUACCGUCGUAGUCUUAACCAUAAACUAUGCCGACUAGGGAUCGGAUGAUGUUAAUUUUUUAAUGACUCAUUCGGCGCCUUACGGGAAAC